CACCGAUGUGAAUUAGAGAAACACGGUAAGGUAAGAUGCACUUAAGCGGUUCUAUAAAUAGAAACUUUGUGCUGAAAUGCAAAUCCACUCAUCUGAUAUACUAGGUAUUUGACUUUUAUACUCCUUUUCCAUAUCUAAAAUAUACUAGUUGUUUUAAAAAAAACAACAACAAAUUUCUAAUAAAAUGUAAAAUCUUUACUUGAUAUAGUUGCUCCUGUACUCUAUCAAGCAAGAAGAAUCAACUUGCAAGUUAGUGAAAAGAUUGCGCCAUACGGUAAGUAUACUAUAGUUUAACAAAAUCAUUACUUAGUAAAACAAUUAAGCACCAUGUUCAUUGCAUAUGUGUACCUAUUUUAGACUCAAUUUGCAUAAUCCUAUAACUACUUAAAGUAUAUAUGCAGUAUAUAUAUUGCUAGCCUUAGCACAUAGCUAGUAAUUCUCAUAUGUACAUGUAUAUUUUGCUAAGAGAGAAGUUGAGAAGAAGAUCCAAACUUCUCUUGUUUGGUUUAGUUAGGAGAGAAAUAGAAGAGAGUGAUUAAAUUAGUGUAGGACCCACACAAAUUGCGAAGAAAGCUGAGAGAGUGUGUCAUUUUUUUUGUUAUUCCAAUUAUGUCCUUUGCUUUAUAUCAAAUUUUACAUGUUGCUUACUGCUUAGGGUGUCAUUGCUAAUAUUUUGAAUGAUAGAUAGAAAAACAAUCUAAUGGCAGUAUAUAGGUAUUAAUUCUCAUAUCUAUGCGUAUAUAUAGGUAGUAUAUAGGCACUUGCUUACAACAACCCUUACCACAAUUUUGAACGAUGUGUGUGUGUGUGUGUGAGCAUCUAAAGUAAUUCUGUAUCUCAAUUAAUUUUUAUUAAUUAGUAGUAGUAUAUAUU
rnacentral:lncRNA from 1 species